ensembl:snoRNA
CUGCAUCCACUGAUAGGUCUGGAAUAGUUGGCUGUGGUUCUUUUGCUCUGCACCAGGCUGCAAAAGAAAAAUACCUGUGGUUUGUCUUAGUGGCAGCUCAGAUUGAAUUAGGAAUUAUAUUU